rnacentral:rRNA from 1 species
GACGAACGCUGGCGGCGUGCUUAACACAUGCAAGUCGAACGGAAAGGCCCUGCUUGCAGGGUACUCGAGUGGCGAACGGGUGAGUAACACGUGGGUGAUCUGCCCUGCACUUCGGGAUAAGCCUGGGAAACUGGGUCUAAUACCGGAUAGGAGCCAUUUUUAGUGUGAUGGUUGGAAAGUUUUUUCGGUGUAGGAUGAGCUCGCGGCCUAUCAGCUUGUUGGUGGGGUAAUGGCCUACCAAGGCGGCGGCGGGUAGCCGGCCGGAGAGGGUGGACGGCCAAAAUGGGACUGGGAUACGGCCCAGACUCCUACGGGAGGCAGCAGGGGGGAAUAUUGCACAAUGGGCGCAAGCCUGAUGCAGCGACGCCGCGUGGGGGAUGACGGGCUUCGGGUUGUAAACUCCUUUCGCUAGGGACGAAGCUUUUUGUGACGGUACCUAGAUAAGAAGCACCGGCUAACUACGUG